rnacentral:rRNA from 1 species
CCUACGGGAGGCAGCAGUGGGGAAUAUUGGACAAUGGGGGGAACCCUGAUCCAGCGACGCCGCGUGAGUGAAGAAGUAUUUCGGUAUGUAAAGCUCUAUCAGCAGGGAAGGAAGAAAUGACGGUACCUGACUAAGAAGCCCCGGCUAACUACGUGCCAGCAGCCGCGGUAAUACGUAGGGGGCAAGCGUUAUCCGGAUUUACUGGGUGUAAAGGGAGCGUAGACGGCGAUGCAAGUCUGAAGUGAAAGGCGGGGGGCCAACCCCCGGACUGCUUUGGAAACUGUAUGGCUGGAGUGCAGGAGAGGUAAGUGGAAUUCGUAGUGUAGCGGUGAAAUGCGUAGAUAUUAGGAGGAACACCAGUGGCGAAGGCGGCUUACUGGACUGUAACUGACGUUGAGGCUCGAAAGCGUGGGGAGCAAACAGGAUUAGAUACCCCUGUAGUC